rnacentral:rRNA from 1 species
AUGGAUGAGUCUACUUUGGGGAGUCGUAGACAUAGAGUGCCUAUUCUUGAUAGAGAGUACUUUCAUGAGUGGAAAAAUGAGAUGCUUGUAAUUUUCAAUCAAUAUAAUUUGAACAAGUACAUUGAUAGUCCUUGUGCACAUUAUGUUGAUCCUAUGCAUCCUACCCUUGAUGAGUCUAUUGACAUGAUUAGGAAUGUUAGAACUGUUAAUCUUAUCACUAGAGGCUUGCCUAGAAACUUGAUUAUAAAACUGCCUACUCUUGAGUGUGCUUACACUAUAUGGAAAUUUCUUGAGGAACGAUUUCCUGAUUAUUCUUUGAAAAAUCUAGAUGAAAUUCUUCAUAAGUCUAUUGCCUUGACUAAGAUGAAUUCCAAUGAUCCUAUGUUUGGUGAUCGUCUAUUUGAACCAACAAAUCUUAUGCGUGCCAAAGGAAAUGUUGGAAUUAUUAGCGAUAUUAUUUCCGAAGCUACUAGAAUUCAUAAGCAAGAUUAUUGUCAAACUCAUACUAAUGAAUCACUCUCCAUAGGAAUUGAUCCACCACAUGACGAUGUUGAACAUGGACACUAUGAUGAGGAUGAUGAGGAUGACUUUGAUCUUGAUGAUGCAAUGAGACAUUUUGGUCUUAUGGAAAACCUUCGGGGAUAUAUGGCAGGAGGAAAGGAAUGGGUCCUUGACAGUGGAUGUACCGAUCACAUGACCAGAAAUAAAGACAUGUUUCAUGAGCUUGCUGAAAAUGAUAGUCCUCGAAAGUAUGUCACUUUCGGUGACAACUCAAAGGGUAAGGUGGUUGGCCUCGGUAAGGUGGCCAUAUCACAUGACAGCUCCAUUCAGAAUGUUAUGCUCGUUGAAUCUCUUGGCUACAACUUACUUUCAGUAUCUAGACUUGCUGAUUUCGGUUUCAAUGUCCUAUUUACUGAAGUAGAUUGCCAAUGUUUCAUCGAGACAAUCAUAAAAUGGUCUUUACCAGCAUACGUAGAGGUGAUCUAUACAUUGUUGAUUUCACUAAAAAAGGCUCAACCUAAAACUUGCUUCAUUGAUAAAUCCUCAAAAGGUUGGUUAUGGCAUAGACGACUAGGUCACGUUGGCAUGAGAAACCUUGACAAGCUUAUUAAAGGGAAUCAUAUCCUUGGUGUUAACGAUGUCAUAUUUGAUAAGGAUAGACUUUGCAGUGCUUGUCAAGCAGGUAAACAGGUUGGAGGAAGGCAUCCCGUGUAG